rfam:Tncultured Faecalibacterium sp. TS29_contig14193, whole genome shotgun sequence.
CCGGAUAUUUUGGCAGGGCUGCACCGGGCAAAGCAACCCCGCCCCAUCUUCCC